rnacentral:lncRNA from 1 species
CACGGUUUGGCAUGACUGCUACAGCUCCAUUUAGUUAAAAAACGCAGGUUUGCCACAUUAUACAGACCAAUAAUGGUGUUCAUAGACAAUGUUUCAGCCCUCUGAAGGGCUCUUUUCAUUCUUCUACACAGGCCUCGUUCAGAUGCCAAGUCAGAAGCAAUGCAGAACUACAGAGCCACUGGGAAAUCAAGCAUUUAUCUUCCGUGAACAAAUGUUAACUGUUAACUCAGAACUCCACGUCACAAGUAAUAGGCAGCCCUGAGUCAGCCAGAGCAAGGACUGUGCUAAGUGAGGUCAUUUCGUAAGAUCCC